UGCAUAUCCAAAAAGCGGAGGAAAAGAAACCAACAGGGAUUGCCCUAGUAACGGCGAGUGAAGCGGCAACAGCUCAAAUUUGAAAGCUGGCUCCGGCCCGCAUUGUAAUUUGCAGAGGAUGCUUCUGGCGAGGUGCCUUCCGAGUUCCCUGGAACGGGACGCCAUAGAGGGUGAGAGCCCCGUAUGGAUGGACACCAAGCCUGUGUGAAGCUCCUUCAACGAGUCGAGUAGUUUGGGAAUGCUGCUCAAAAUGGGAGGUAAAUCUCUUCUAAAGCUAAAUACCGGCCAGAGACCGAUAGCGCACAAGUAGAGUGAUCGAAAGAUGAAAAGCACCUUGAAAAGGGGGUUAAACAGUACGUGAAAUUGUUGAAAGGGAAGCGCUUGUGACCAGACUUGCGCCGGGCGGCUCAUCAGGGGUUCUCCCCUGUGCACUCCGCCCGGCUCAGGCCAGCAUCGGUUCUCGUGGGAGGAUAAGAACGGUGGGAACGUGGCCCCCCUCCGGGGGGGUGUUAUAGCCCACCGUACGAUACUCUCGUGGGGACCGAGGUUCGCGCUCCGCAAGGAUGCUGGCGUAAUGGUCAUCAGCGACCCGUCUUGAACCCACGGACCA
rnacentral:rRNA from 1 species